AUUUCAGCAGAUGGUGUUAUCGCAGCUGGGGAGAAACAUGAUCCAAUCACAGAGGGAUCAGCUUCUGUGACUCAUCGUAACAUAAACACAGAAGGCUUUAACUGAGCCCUGACGUUCACAAACCAUAAAAGGGCACAGAAACCUUAAAGG